rnacentral:SRP_RNA from 1 species
CGGGCGAGCGCCUCGCCAACCCGGUCAGGUCCGGAAGGAAGCAGCCGAAACGAGUCCCGCUUGGGUCGUUGUCCAGCCUCU